rnacentral:tRNA from 2 species
GGGUCGUUAGCUCAGCUGGUAGAGCAGCGGACUUUUAAUCCGUUGGUCGCAGGUUCGAACCCCGCACGGCCUACCA